GACGAACGCUGGCGGCGUGCCUAAUACAUGCAGGUAGAACGCUGAAGAGAGGAGCUUGCUCUUCUGGGAUGAGUUGCGGACGGGUGAGUAACGCGUAGGUAACCUGCCUUGUAGCGGUGGAUAACUAUUGGAAACGAUAGCUAAUACCGCAUAACAAUGGGUGACACAUGCCAUUUGUUUGAAUGGGGCAAUUGCUCCACUACAAGAUGGACCUGCGUUGUGUUAGCUAGUAGGUGAGGUAAUGGCUCACCUAGGCGACGAUACAUAGCCGACCUGAGAGGGUGAGCGGCCACACUGAGACUGAGACACGGCCCAGACACCUACGGGAGGCAGCAGUAGGGAAUCUUCGGCAAUGGGGGCAACCCUGACCGAGCAACGCCGGGUGAGUGAAGGAGGUUUUCGGAUCGUAAAGCUCUGUUGUAAGUCAAGAACGGGUGUGAGAGUGGAAAGUUCACGCUGUGACGGUAGCUUAACAGAAAGGGACGGCUAACUACGUG
rnacentral:rRNA from 1 species